rnacentral:lncRNA from 1 species
GGUGUCCACAUGAACUCUGAAGGAGGAAGCCACGAUGUCAGCUGUCUGUUCCCUUUGUCAUCACUGCUAGACAGUGGGUGUCUGCGCUGGGGUGAACAAUAUGUUAGCCUUUGGCCAGGCGGUGAGCUUCCAAAAUGCAAACAUCUCAGCCUCUGUCUGCAGAGGUGAGAAUUCAGCUUGGCAGAGGAAUGGGACACUGUCAAGGAAGACAAGCUUUUGGAGUCAGACAAUCCCAGGUAUUUGCUGAUUUAUUUGUUCAAUGCUGGUCUCCCACACUAGACCAUGAGCAGGAAGGAGAGGCAGCAUGCAACUGUGCUCGUUGUCUACACAGGGCCUAGCACUGGGCCUGGGCCAGGGCAGGCACCUGGGAGGGCCUUGGUUUCUGAGGCUGAGAGAGGAUAAGCUAAGCAAGGGGCAGAACAGGACACCAACCAUCUCCAGACCCCAGUACAACACAGAUGGCAGGCCAAAGAGGGACUGUGUCGUCUGAUUCAAGAGUACAGACUACACAGCCAGAAUAAUCGGGGCCUGGCUUGGACUCUCUUUAAAUAUUCAUUCCUCAUCUGUAAAAUGAGCAUAUGAGUCCCACUUCACCAGACUGUAGGACAUACGUGAAGGACUCUGCAGUGUCUGGAACAUAUUUAUGGCCCCUGAAAUAAACAGUUAUUGAUGACAGAGAUGAAAAGAAGAAGAUCCAAUGGAGUAAUCUUCAAGGCCUGCUUCAAGUCUUGCCUUUGCUGCAAGAGAGAAGGUCACCUAUCUCCCCAGGUAGCCUCUCUCACCCUGACAAUGUAUCUUCACAGGUAAGGGACAAAGACAAGACUAGAAAUCAUCCCUCUGCCCACCUCAAGACAAAUGCAGAUCUGACUUCUUCUUCCUCUACUCUAUGUUUACUUUAUCUUAUGUAAAAUACAAGAUUUACUGAGCAGGAGCCGAAU